rnacentral:rRNA from 1 species
UACGUAGGCAGCAAGCGUUGUUCGGAAUUACUGGGCGUAAAGAGUGUGUAGGCGGUGCUCUAAGUUCGGUGUGAAAUCUCCCGGCUCAACUGGGAGGGUGCGCCGGAAACUGGAAUGCUUGAGCGUGGGAGAGGAAAGCGGAAUUCCUGGUGUAGCGGUGAAAUGCGUAGAUAUCAGGAGGAACACCUGCGGUGUAGACGGCUUUCUGGACCAUUGCUGACGCUGAGACACGAAAGCGUGGGUAGCAAGCAGG